UGCUGGUAAUAGAAGGGGUGUGCCUCACUACUAUCCUCAGAUUCAAAAGAGACUUCCUCUUUUGACAUGUUCGAGGGAGCGGCGGCUAAACUGUUUGCUCUUCGCGGGAGGUUACUCUGACUAAGGCCAUUCUGUGCUAGAAAGUUGUGGUCUUGCAGAAAACAGGGGACGUGAAGGAAGAAUUUUGUCAAAUCUUGAUUUCCCUGGUGUCGUUACGAUGAAGAUCUAUAAAUCUCUGGGUCUGCCAUGACAUGCUUGGUCGCUUCAUGGAGCAGGAGGAGGCUUUGUUAGGGAAACCACCUUAAUUUCUGAGCUCUUUUUGAGGUGGGAGGAAGGAGAUAGAAUUAACCUCUUUUUCCUUCCUCUUUUUUUUUUUUAAUUGUAGUGGACGGCAUGCAUUGUCUUUCAUUUGAGGAGAAAAUAUAUUGGAUCUGAAAACCACGCUGAUGAAAGACUAAUAUUUUGUGGUAGAUUUAGCAGUUUGACAUGCAUGAAAAGAAAGUCGAUAUAUUAUUGCCUUGAGCUUAGUUUUCAGUUAUUCAGGAUUAACUGAUGAACAACUGAAUCAACAAUACAUGAUAUAGACAUCUCACAUCAGGAAUACCAAAACAAAACAAACAGUAACAUAAUUGAUGGGUUUGUUUGUUUUUUGAGAUGGAGUCUCACUCUUAUGGCCCAUGCUGGUUUGCAAUGGCGCAGUCUCAGCUGUCUGCAACCUCUGCCUGUCGGGUUCAAGUGAUUCUCCUGCCUCAGCCUCUGGAGUAGCUGGGACUACUGACAUCAGCCACCAUGCCCUGCUAGUUUUUGUAUUUUUAAUAGAGAUGGGAUUUCACCAUGUUGUCCAGGCUGGUCUUGAAUUCCUGACCUUGGGUGAUCUGCCCUGCUUGGCUUCCCAGAGUGCUUGGAUUACUGGCGUGAGCCACUGCACGGGGCCUAAUUGAUGUAUUUAAAAUUAAUUUUGGGCAGGGCUCCAUGGUUUAUGCCUGCAAUCCCAGCACUUUAGGAGGCCAAGGAGGGAGGAUUGCUUGAAUCCAGGAGUUCAAGACCAGCCUGGGCAACAGCGAGACCCCUGUCUACAGAAAAACAAACAAACAAAAACAAAAAUGUAGUGGCAUGUGUGACAUGGUGAAAGGCCCCAUAAAACUACAUACCUCAACCAUACCUCAGCUUUCUGUUGAAACUGCUAUCUAUAACCCAAAUGUGAAUAAGUAAUCAAGGACUGUGAUCCCCACCCUACCCAGACAAUGUGUAGACGAAUGCUAAUCUUAGCUUUUGUGAACCACUUAAGUAACAAUCAGAAUGUCAAAUAGUCCCCUGGCCCUCGGAAUGUCCAGAAACCCCUCACCCCCAUCCCCGCCCCUCACCCUUAUCUCCACCCAGGAGGUGAUUUGCAGAAUCCACUAGCCCUCAGAAUGUCUGAAGCCCCUCACCCCCAUUCCCAAGGUGGUUUUACGGGUAUAAAAAGGUCUUGUCACCCUUCUUUCUCUGCCACGGGUUGAAGAGACGUGAGUCCUCCGUGGUUGCCGGCAAUAAACCCUGCAAUUUGGCAUA